UUUUUUUUUUUUUUGAGACAUAGUCUCACUCUGUCACCCAGGCCGGCGUGCAGUGGCAAGAUCUCGCCUCGCUACAACCUCUACCUCCUGGGUUCAAGCAAUUCUCUUGCCUCAGCCUCCCGAAUGGCUGGGAUUACAGGCACGCGCCACCACGCUCGGCUAAUUUUUGUAUUUUUAGUAGAGACAGGGUUUUGCCAUGUUGGCCAGGCUGGCCUUGAACCCCUGACCUCAGGUGAUCCGCCCACCUCAGCCUCCCAAAGUGCUAGGAUUAUAGGCGUGAGCUACUGCGCACAGCCACUUCCCAUUUUUGAUCCCCUUCUUCCCUCUCUCAUGUUUCCAUUGUUUUUUCUGUGCCCCUUCACUCUCAUUUUUCCAUCCCUGAACUUUCCAUUCUCCCCUUCUCUUUAAUGUUGCCAUCCAUUACAGCCCAGCCUUUAAGGUCCUGCAGGAUGGGCCCUUCACAUCCUGUUUUGUCCACGCUAAGUUACACUUAUGCCCAUUCCUGAAUGCUCUGUGCAUUUGCAAUGUUGGGCCUUCUCUCUGGGAUGCUCUCAUUGGCUCUGACAACCCCUACUCCACCUUCACCACCCAGGAGAAAGCCGCCUCCUCCCAAGGGCUCUCUAUUCCAGCACUGCCUGAAGCACGUUGCCUUCACCAUCGGGUCUGGCUUCCUCAGACUGGAGCCCCUAGAGGCUGAGCCGGUAGUUAUUUUAGCUUUGGCCAGAUUCAGUGAUGACUUUUGACAGGGGUGUCCUUCCUUUAAGGUACAUAGGAUGCAUUUCAUAGAACGAGUAGUGAAUGAAUGAAUGAGACGGGUUCUCUUCCGGACAUGCUUUCCAUUCUCUCCCACCCCACAAAAGAACACCUUUCGGUGGCAGAAAUAAAGGCAUUGCACAAAGGGACAAACCAUUAUUUCCCUAGACCUACUAUGCACCACCCUCUCCGCAGGCACUUAACAGACAUUAUCUUAUUUGAUUCUCCCAUUAUCGUUUUAUAGAUGUGAAAGUAGAGGCCCAGAGAGACGAAGCGCUUUGUCUGAAGUCACACAGCUUUUUAUCAGGACCCAGGACGCUGGGGUUGGGGCAUGGAGGUGGGGAGAGUAGAACCCUGGGCUGGGUGUGUCAGAAGUAGAAGCAAAGGAUGGUCUGCAGGUUGGUGCUCAGGAGAAAGCCGGCUGACAUGGAGUGAUGUUCAUUUUAAAUUCAUUAUUGUCUUUGUGAGCAAAUGCCUGCUUAUCUCCCGAAACCGGGAUUCCCGGAAUCCUUGAAUUUGAUGUGAUUUUCCUAAUAACAGCCUGAUAAUCUCCCAGUGAAGUUCUAUCCCCACCAACACCCAAAGAUGUAGGUCCCUGUUUCAGAUGGGGAAACUGAGACAUGAAAGAGCUAAAUUCAACACUUCUGUUCCCCAGUGACCAUGGAUGGUUAAGCCAGGAUGUGGACCUGGGGUACCUGACUGCCAGCCCAUCUGCCUCCAACUGUCCAGCACAGCCUUUAUUUCUCUCGUCCAGUUUGGUGACCCGGGCCCUGGUCAAAGCUGGAAGUCACAGCUUGGUCUGAUGGUUCAUGUGAUCCUUCCCUUGGAAUGGGAGUCAGAUAGACCUGGGUUCAAAUGCCCACCAGGGUCACAGCAUCUUUCAGAUUUCAAUUGUCAGAAAGAGGACAAGCGUGUGAACCAAUGUAUGCAUCAACAGGAUCAUGGCAAGCAGCAACACGUGCUACAAAGGCAUUUUAUCCCAAGCAACCCAAGCGAUGAUCUGAUGAGUAGCAGGUGUCACCACCGUGCCUGCCAAGGGUCACCAGUGUGCCACUCUGCAAGACUAGCUCAUAGGCAGGCUGAUUCAAAAACUUGCCUUUGUUCUCUUGCAGGACUUCUCCUGGCAAGUACUGUAUCAGUGGGGUGCGUCCAGGAGAACAAGCCACAUGAGGCAUUGCAGGGAGGGGACUGAUGUGCAGAGUGACUCCUCAGGUGACGAAAGACCAAACAAUGCUGAGCUCACCCAGAGGCCAGCUCAGGAAGGGGUGGCCACAGAAGGGGAAGAAGACACAAGAGGACUGAGCACGGGGGUCUCUGAAGCCAGGAACUUGGAGGAGGGGCUUGUGGAGUUGGGAAGCCCCAAGAUGGG
rnacentral:lncRNA from 1 species